AGACGAACCGUCCAAACGUUAUUCGGAAUCACUGGGCUUAAAGGGUGCGUAGGCGGCACGGCAAGUUGGGUGUGAAAGCCCUCGGCUCAACCGAGGAAUUGCGCCCAAAACUGCCGCGCUAGAGGGAGACAGAGGUGAGCGGAACUUAGGGUGGAGCGGUGGAAUGCGUUGAUAUCCUAAGGAACACCGGUGGCGAAAGCGGCUCACUGGGUCUCUUCUGACGCUGAGGCACGAAAGCUAGGGGAGCGAACGGGAUUAGAAACCCUAGUAGUCC
rnacentral:rRNA from 1 species